GGGGACGUAGCUCAGCUGGUUAGAGCGCCGGCCUGUCACGCUGGAGGUCACGGGUUCGAGUCCCGCCGUCCCCGCCA
rnacentral:tRNA from 1 species